CCUACGGGAGGCAGCAGUGAGGAAUAUUGGUCAAUGGACGAGAGUCUGAACCAGCCAAGUAGCGUGAAGGAUGACUGCCCUAUGGGUUGUAAACUUCUUUUAUAUGGGAAUAAGAUGUUUCACGUGUGGGAUUUUGUAUGUACCAUAUGAAUAAUGAUCGGCUAACUCCGUGCCAUCAGCCGCGGUACUACAGAGGAUCCGAGCGUUAUCCGGAUUUAUUGGGUUUAAAGGGAGCGUAGGUGGAGUGUUAAGUCAAGUGUGAAAGUUUGCGGCUCAACGGGAAAAGUGCAGUUGAAACUGGCAGUCUUGAGUACAGUAGAGGAGGGCGGAAUUCGUGGUGUAGCGGUGAAAUGCUUAGAUAUCACGAAGAACUCCGAUUGCGAAGGCAGUUAACUGGACUGCAACUGACACUGAGGCGCGAAAGUGUGGGUAUCAAACAGGAUUAGAUACCCGUGUAGUC
rnacentral:rRNA from 1 species